CCGUAAUACCGUCAUGACGGUUCCCCGACCGAGAGCGAAGGGGAUUAAUAGGGAACACGGUGAGGACGACCCAUCAAGGGGCCGAGACCGUGGCUGCCCCCGCAACUGUAAGCGGAUUGCCGUUCAUCCUCGUGACGCCGAAAGCGUCAUGCCACUGUGCCCACGGCACGGGAAGGCAGAUGGACGGCGAUUAUCCGCAAGCCAGGAGACCUGCCGUCUUACGUAGUCCAUUG
rnacentral:ncRNA from 18 species